GGGAUUCACAUUCAACUGUAGGCCAUAACAGAAUGGCACAAUCAUAAAACAAAACAUGGCAACAAAGGAAGAAAAUGAACUGACCCCUGAUCAAAAGUCUGCAUACCCUUAGUUCUUAACAUGACAAGGAAUGUGGGAUCACUGAGUGAAAUUAACUGGAAGUAUACACAUUAUUCCACAACGUAUGUUUUAUACUUAAUACUUCAAGUAAAAAAAAUAUUCAGCAAACAUAUACAAAUGGCAGAUUUAGAGAACACAUUUUAAAUUGCUUGCAAUUAAGUAACUCUUAUAGUUCAUGAGUACAAAUAAAAAAAUUCAUCCAACAAUCCUGAUAUUCAAAAGUCCUGUGGAAAUGUUCAAUGCUUGUACAAUUGAUAUCAAAGGUCUACACACUCUUAGUGAGAAGGCAGUCUACACACUCUUAGUGAGAAGGCAGUCUACACACUCUUAGUGAGAAGGCAGUCUACACACUUAGUGAGAAGGCAGCUUUUGUUGAUGUAAAGGCUGAAAUCAAGACCAAUCAUGUUGACUUUUUAUCCCCUUUAUUAACUAAUCUUGUAACCAACAUCAUAAGUGAAGGAUUUUUUAUUACUGGUAAUGCUUGGGCUGUGAAGGUGUGGACACUGCAUCAAGCACGUUUUGCUUGGAUUACAGCAGUAGGUCAGUUGAAUAGGUCUCCAUCAACCAAGCAUACCUUGGCAGGAGUUGAAACUGAGUCAAAAGGUUAGAUUCAUGUGAUAUUAUGAAUGCAAGAUCAAGCUGAUAAACAAUCACAUUGUUUUCACAGCCUGUUUUAGUUCAGAUUAACCCAGGGUGCCAAUUAUUCCACAGGGCACUGUACUUAUUUGCUGGCAGGUAAAUACUUACGCACAUCAAUCUCAAAACUCCCCAUUAAAACUAUUCUCUCUCAAUCUGCAAUGCAAGUAAAUGAGCACUUUAAUCCAAGGAGGAGUAAAUACUUUAUAAUAACCCACUGUAGGGAGUUUAACAGGGUGACCACCUGGGGUUGAAAGCUUUGUUUCCAAUUGUCUCUCUGUCCUGAUAAUGAUUGUCGUGAAACCUGCUUGCUGGAUGCACCGCAAAACAGCCCUUGGCCCCCCAGGUGGCUGAAGCCUGCGAUGUUCUGUGUGGCC
ensembl:lncRNA